CCCCCUCCCCGGCCCUCCCGCAACAGCCCCCUUCCCCCCUCCCGAUGCAUAUAGGGCAUCUAAAGGGCUUGGACCAGUCACCUACACGCGCUGCCAUCCGAAUCAGAGGUGACAUCAUGCAUCGCAGGGGACGAUAUGCUGUUGUGGAGUUCCAGUUUUUACAGACAGAGGCCGGUACCUCUUCUUCAGCGCAGCAGCCUGAGGCCAGUUCUUCUGCACAGCAUUCCGAGCCCUGUCCUCCAUCAUCAGCACAGCACGAUCCUCCUGUUCAUCAGACAGAUGAUGAGCUAUACGUUCAGGAUCCGGGAGAGUACGCCCCAAACGUAGACCCACAGUAGUGCGAGAUGUGUGGUAGUUGCGUGAGGGCGAGAGGAUUGUUGUGGAGUGCAAUCAGCAAUGUCAGUCAGUUAAGAAAGUUGCCAGCUUAUUGAUUUCAUUUUUGGGGACCGUUGCUCUGAAGCCUCAGCUAUAUCCAUUGGGCUAUGCAAAAUGGAAUGGCAUGCUUCCAACGUACAAAAGUAAGUUCGUACUCCCUCCAUCCAAGUCAUGAUUUUGUAACGAAGUCUUUCAACCGCAAAUGGAAAGAAUAUAAAUCACACUUGAAGAGGGACUACAUGAGACGAGCAGGUAUGAUAGAGGAGGAGGUUGCUAGGAAUUGUCCUCCUAAUGUAUCCUUGGAGCUGGUCCAUUAUUGAUUCUCUGAGAGGGCACAGACUUAUUUUAAUAUUGGUAGAACUGCACGAGCAGUUCAGUCUGUUCCUCGUACAAUGGGGUCAAAGAGUUAUGCAUGACUCUGAUAUCGGAGUCCUUGUUCAUGUAGGUAGAUGAGCAUGGGAGGGAACCUAAUAAACUGGAGUUUUACCGGAUGACUCAUACUCAUCACGAUGGCACUUUUGUUUGGGAUGAGGGAGAGGGCUACAUCUCUCAUUGUGGAGCAUGAGGACGAGUCCAGAGCCGUAUGAACAUAGCAGAGUUGCAUGAAGGCCGAGGUGUUCACAAAGUUGAUGGGACCGGUGCUACAGUCGAGUGAGAGGGGUUAUGGAGUAGGAGUCACCCCUACUCAAUUAUCUGCGGUGAACAGAUAUACGCAGGAUGCUACAGUAGAUGCUCAGGAUUCAAGCGUCCGCAGACUCGAGGCGGAGAUGGAGCAGAUUAGAUAGAGUGAUGCUGCUGAGAUGGAGGAGAUGAGACAGAAUUGUGCCGAGACGUAGAUCAUGAGGGAGCAGAUUGAUCGGCUUACAUUUUUGUUACAUAUGCUCCCGUUACGUCAGGCACUCGUGGAAACGGCGGCACGUCAGGCAUUCAUGGAGACAGCGACGACCAUCUACCUGCAGAUGAUUGACAUUUUUUUUUUUUUUUUGUAGCCCCAUGUUUUCUGUAUGCUUUUAUUUUGUUGAACUUUUGAUUGUAAUGGACCAACAUCAACACUUUGUUUUUAUUUAUAUAAAACAAUAUCUUUUAACCCAAA